UUUGUAGCCAGCUCAGCAAAGUCUUUGCUGCGUGCAGCUUGCAAAUGUAUCUUGUUCUGGAGACCGCCCCUUUUCCUGGGGAAAGAAGGCUCCAUUUUGAGAAGCCUCUUUCCUUCUAAACUGAAGAAGAAAGAACUUAGAUGUGCUUGAGUGGCCAAGCCAGGCCAACUCUGACAAAGCCAUUUUGACUUGUAGUUUCAUCUGGCAUCUAUCAUCAAGUCCACAACUUCUGACCAGUCAUCAUGAAAUCAGCUAUGGAUUGAUUUCCUUCAGCUGCUUAAGCCAUAAACAGAGGAAAUUGAAGUAGACAUUUUUUGCCUCUGUCAAAGAUCAAGACAAUACUCCAUUCAUAGAAUCAUAGAAUCGUAGAGUUGGAACAGACCUCACGGGCCAUUCAUUCCAUACAUAGAAUACAUAGCAGAUUUUGUUAUCUACUGUAGGACAGAUUCAAAACCAAUGAAGAUCUGAAUUGGUUGGUGCUAGAAGAAUGAAAGAGACAUUUUAUUGGUUUGACCAUUGGACUAUGAUUUUGGAACAAGAUUUCAAUCCUUGCUUGGACAUGGAAGUCUACUAGGUGAACUUGGGCAAGUCAAACUCCCUCAGCCUGAGAUGAAAGCACAGGCCAAUCUCCUAUGAACAAAUCUGGCCCAAAAAACCCCUGUGAUCGGACUACCUUAGAAGCAACAUAAUAAGAUGGCCCACAAAAACAAGAAAGAAAAUCAACACAGCUAAACCUGAACUUGCAUAUCCUUGACUCAAGCAAGGAAACCAUGACCUUGAAUUUGCAAGACCUGAGCAGGGCAAUUGAUGACUGAUGAGCUUGUAGUGUCUCCAUAUGUCAAAGCCAACUUAAUGACAAAUAACAAUAAAAACAAUUUCUUGG
rnacentral:lncRNA from 11 species